rnacentral:lncRNA from 1 species
GGUAUUGUUGUUGUUUCGAGGCUGGUAGGCCUGCUGUUAUGGACGAUACUGUUGUUGUUGAUAUUGUUGAUGUUGUUGUUGUUGAUGCUGAUAAUGUUAAGUUUCCCUAAAGGCAGAUGCUAUAUGAGCCACCUGGUGCUGGUUACUCGUAGGGCGAAUAGUCUUCCUCUUCACAGAGGGUCUUCGUUUAAUAUGGGAAGACACGGCAUGUGCCUCUCCC